rnacentral:rRNA from 1 species
AGGGAAUAUUGCGCAAUGGACGAAAGUCUGACGCAGCAACGCCGCGUGGGUGAUGAAGCAUUUCGGUGUGUAAAACCCUGUCAGUGGGGAAGAACCGUGCGAGGAGUCACUGCCUUGCACCUGACGGUACCCACAGAGGAAGUCCCGGCUAACUCCGUGCCAGCAGCCGCGGUAAUACGGGGGGGACAAGCGUUGUUCGGAUUUACUGGGCGUAAAGGGCGCGUAGGCGGACCGACAAGUCGGGUGUGAAACCUGCCAGCUUAACUGGCAGCCUGCAUUUGAUACUGUCGGCCUUGAGUACAGGAGAGGAGAAUGGAAUUCCAGGUGUAGCGGUGAAAUGCGUAGAUAUCUGGAAGAACACCGGUAGCGAAGGCGGUUCUCUGGACUGAUACUGACGCUUAAGCGCGAAGGCUUGGGGAGCAAAC